rnacentral:misc_RNA from 1 species
GCUGCCCUUGUUGUUGCCUCUAUUUCUUCCUUUGGAAACACCCAUGACUUCACUGCGAUGUGUUACCCCCUACUUAUCAGCUCUAUGGGUAUCGUCGUUUGUUUGAUUACCACACUUUUUGCAACCGAUUUCUUUGAAAUAAGGGCAGUUAAGGAGAUCGAGCCGGCAUUGAAAAAGCAGCUCAUAAUCUCCACUGUUCUAAUGACCAUUGGCAUUGCGAUUGUCAGCUGGGUAGCCCUACCAUCUAGUUUUACAAUCUUUAACUUUGGUGUUCAGAAGGUAGUGAAGAACUGGCAGCUAUUUUUCUGUGUUGCAGUCGGGUUAUGGGCAGGAUUAGUUAUUGGUUUUGUCACUGAAUAUUACACUAGCAAUGCCUACAGUCCCGUGCAGGAUGUUGCUGAUUCCUGCAGGACUGGAGCUGCCACUAAUGUCAUCUUCGGGCUUGCUCUGGGAUACAAAUCGGUCAUCAUUCCCAUUUUUGCUAUUGCAAUCAGUAUCUUUGUUAGCUUUAGUCUUG